rnacentral:lncRNA from 1 species
AGCCCUUCGUCUUCUUCCUCCCACCGAACCAAAAGCUCUCCAUCUCUUCUCCCUCAAACCAAAGAUUUCUCUCAAAUAUUUCCUCCCAUCGAUUUUCAUUUUUCAAAUUGCCCAUUUAGGAACCAAGUUCCUCUUUUCUUCCUUCUUCAUUUGGGGCGGUUCGAGCUUGCCCUAGACUCUACCCGUCUUCUCCAAAUCGACACAUCACCUCUGCAAAAUCUUUGCCUUUCCACUAGAAUCUUUUCCUCUCUCCCUCGCAUUUAGUCUUCAAAGCUCCGUGCAAGUCCUUGUGCAAAUUGCUCCCAAAAUGAAACUUCCACAGAGGAAAAAAUCUGUUCGCGGUUGAAAG